rnacentral:misc_RNA from 1 species
CGGCCGCGCCUUGUAAGCGCUAAGCCGGGAGGAGGGCGCAGGCAGGGCGCACAGCUCUGAGCGCGACCCUACCCGGCUCGGGCCCGCAGCAACCCCGACUGUCCGAGAGCCUCUCCCCAAGCAAGGCUCUGCGCCGCCCUCUGAGCCCACCUCCUGGCCACAACGCUGCCUGCGCUUCUCCAGCCCAGGCCGGAAGCCCUAUGCUGCCUCCCGAAGCCGGACUUUCUGGAAGCCCAUCUUCGUAUGCUCACCAGCCCACCCUCCUACGCUGGUCAGAGUGAGAUUGCUAACCUCAAGACCCCAUUCAAUGCCAGCUUUCAACUACUGCUGAAGACCAAUGUAGGUCCUGGAAUAGAAGAACUGCAGAGUAUCCCUAAGGUCUCCUCUUCAUCUGGCAUGUGUGUUCACAGAAGGUACAGUGUGCGAGAACACACUUAGGAAAUUUUAGGAACGCUAACCACAGUACUGGAGGAAUAAAGAUGUGUCGAAGGAAUGGAUGGAAUGCAUGAACACAUACACCUUGUUGUCCAGAUGCAGACAAAAGCUACCAUGUCCGCUUGGAGUGACGCCCAGACACGCACAGAGAUGUACAGGAAGCCAAGGAGAGUGGGAUCCACCAGAGUACAGUACAAGUACAGAGUACAGUGCAAGAUGCCCAGUGGCCCUGGAGAAAAACCUUCGUUGACUCUUCUGUAUGGAAAGUUUCUGAAGAAAGGGCCAAGGAAUGAUCUGCCCCAGAGGCUGCCUUUAGGCUCCCAUACCUGCUCUGUUUGGAGACACCCAGAAGAGGCCAGUACAGCAAAGACUCUUUUUGGUUUGGUUAUUUCUGUUGCUUGUUGUCUUUUUUUCAUCCUUUGCCUGGGAAAUUGUGCUCUGGAAUAGGGCUUGAGUAGACAGCACAGGCCUCCAGUAGAUAACAAGAGAUUCUCAAUCUCCAAUGAGGACAUUCCGUUCUAAGGAAGCUUCCAGAUAGGGGAAAGCCCUGUUUUGUCCCCCUUUUCUCCUCUGAGAUCUGAAAA